rfam:Camelus ferus unplaced genomic scaffold scaffold1783, whole genome shotgun sequence.
GAGUGUAUAGCUCAAGUGGUAGAGUGUAUGCUUAGCCUGCAUGAGGUCCUAGGUUCAAUUCCCAGUAUCUCCU